UACGUAGGGUGCGAGCGUUGUCCGGAAUUAUUGGGCGUAAAGAGCUCGUAGGCGGUCUGUCGCGUCGAUCGUGAAAACUUGGGGCUUAACCCUGAGCUUGCGGUCGAUACGGGCAUGACUGGAGUUCGGCAGGGGAGACUGGAAUUCCCGGUGUAGCGGUGAAAUGCGCAGAUAUCAGGAGGAACACCGGUGGCGAAGGCGGCUUGCUGGGCCAGUUCUGACGCUGAGGAGCGAAAGCGUGGGGAGCGAACAGG
rnacentral:rRNA from 1 species